CCUACGGGUGGCAGCAGUGGGGAAUAUUGGACAAUGGGGGGAACCCUGAUCCAGCCAUGCCGCGUGUGUGAAGAAGGCCCUCGGGUUGUAAAGCACUUUCAGUGAGGAAGAACGCCUGGUGGUUAAUACCCAUCAGGAAAGACAUCACUCACAGAAGAAGCACCGGCUAACUCCGUGCCAGCAGCCGCGGUAAUACGGAGGGUGCGAGCGUUAAUCGGAAUUACUGGGCGUAAAGCGCGCGUAGGUGGCUUGAUAAGCCGGUUGUGAAAGCCCCGGGCUCAACCUGGGAACGGCAUCCGGAACUGUCCAGCUAGAGUGCAGGAGAGGAAGGUAGAAUUCCCGGUAUAGCGGUGAAAUGCGUAGAGAUCGGGAGGAAUACCAGUGGCGAAGGCGGCCUUCUGGACUGACACUGACACUGAGGUGCGAAAGCGUGGGUAGCAAACAGGAUUAGAUACCCUUGUAGUC
rnacentral:rRNA from 1 species